AGGGAUUCCAGUGCGGACUUGUACUGACAUGAAAGCAGAAUGUAAAAUUUGGCCUCAAGACAUUAUAAGGAAUGUUCAGAAAUCAGUUGAAGCCACCUUUUCCCAUCUUCUGCCAGCCCCCUGACACAUAGGAAAUGGGUUUCUGUCCAAAGCAGAAUAUCAAAGUGGAAAUGCUGAAUUGUUUCUCUGCUUCUGCCCCUGCCUUUUCCUUUUCUUUAAAAGAAGGUACUAAGGCUGAGACCUUCUGCAAAUAAAGCACAGCUUAUUGUGAGUGUUA